CCGCAACCGUAACAACACAACACGCGCUGAAUCUGUUAUCGGUAGAUCUGGACUCAGGCUUCAGAGAAGGGGGCCGCGCGGUACCUCGGCUGGGGGCGGGAAGAGGGAGGAGGCGGAGGAAGCGGCGCGAACUUGCUGCCCCUCAUCGCCCGCUUCUCAUCGUCGGACAGGUCGCCGGCCGCCGCCAUGUCGCCGCCGAACUGCACGGGGCGGUGGACAGGAGGAGGACGGAAGAGGACUGAGGGUGAAGAAGGAAGCGCGACCGGUUGAGUUCUGGUCUGGUCGAACCAGGUACGCGGCCCGACCGGACACUGGC
rnacentral:misc_RNA from 1 species